UACGGAAGGCAGCAGUGGGGAAUAUUGCACAAUGGGCGCAAGCCUGAUGCAGCCAUGCCGCGUGUAUGAAGAAGGCCUUCGGGUUGUAAAGUACUUUCAGCGGGGAGGAAGGCGGUGAAGUUAAUAGCUUCACCGAUUGACGUUACCCGCAGAAGAAGCACCGGCUAACUCCGUGCCAGCAGCCGCGGUAAUACGGAGGGUGCAAGCGUUAAUCGGAAUUACUGGGCGUAAAGCGCACGCAGGCGGUCUGUCAAGUCGGAUGUGAAAUCCCCGGGCUUAACCUGGGAACUGCAUUCGAAACUGGCAGGCUAGAGUCUUGUAGAGGGGGUAGAAUUCCAGGUGUAGCGGUGAAAUGCGUAGAGAUCUGGAGGAAUCCGGUGGCGAAGGCGGCCCCUGGGACAAAGCUGACGCUCAGGGUGCGAAAGCGUGGGGAGCGAAACAGGAUUAGGAUACC
rnacentral:rRNA from 1 species